rnacentral:lncRNA from 1 species
UAGAGAUGGGAUUUUGCCAUGUUGCCUAGGCUGGUCUCAAACUCCUGAGCUCAAGUGAUCUGUCCACCUUGGCCUUCCUGUGAUUACAGGUGUGAGCCACUGUGCCCACCAACUGACCAUUACAUCUUUAUGGUUUUCUUCCAAAAGCAAUCUGAAGAAUUUUGGGAUUACAGCUUUUAUUGUUAUUAAGCCUUAAACAUUGAGCAACCUUCUGGCUUGGAGAAAAACUAAGUGCAUAUUUGCCUAUAUUCCAAAACCAAGAUGACGUAUACUUCCAAUUAAACAGAUGUGGUCAGCCGUUGAUCGGACCCAGAGGAGAAGAAAGUAAAUGCAUCCAAAACAACAAUGAGUAGGAAAUAGGGGUGAGCAAAGAUGGAGACUUGCUUACUAAGUUAAGUGAUAUGUGUGAGGAUUCACAGUGGAGAAAACCAGAGGGAGAUAAAUGAUGCCACAGAAGAAUGGGCAUACUGUGUGGCUGAGAGGCAGGAGGCAGAGUGGAUCCAGAGUGGCCAGAGGCUGCAUAGAUGGGAAUUUCCAGGAGAAAGGAGAGAAGUGGGGAGCUGAGACUAGGAGAAGAACAUUAAUGGAUAAUGGGGGGAUCACGGAGGUGGCCAGAUAGGCUUCUCCUCUGUGAUGUACAUGCACCUCUCUUCAAUAAUUCCCCAUUAAAUUUGAUUAAACAUUUUAUUUCUCAUUGUGGAGUUAAAUUUAUUUCAGCAAUGCAUCAAAGUUCAGUCUUAAG